CCUACGGGCGGCUGCAGUGGGGAAUAUUGGACAAUGGGCGAAAGCCUGAUCCAGCCAUGCCGCGUGUGUGAAGAAGGCCUUCGGGUUGUAAAGCACUUUCAGUGGGGAAGAAAGCCUUGGGGCUAAUACCCUCGAGGAAGGACAUCACCCACAGAAGAAGCACCGGCUAACUCCGUGCCAGCAGCCGCGGUAAUACGGAGGGUGCGAGCGUUAAUCGGAAUUACUGGGCGUAAAGCGCGCGUAGGCGGUCUGAUAAGCCGGUUGUGAAAGCCCCGGGCUCAACCUGGGAACGGCAUCCGGAACUGUCAGGCUAGAGUGCAGGAGAGGAAGGUAGAAUUCCCGGUGUAGCGGUGAAAUGCGUAGAGAUCGGGAGGAAUACCAGUGGCGAAGGCGGCCUUCUGGACUGACACUGACGCUGAGGUGCGAAAGCGUGGGUAGCAAACAGGAUUAGAUACCCGGGUAGUC
rnacentral:rRNA from 1 species